UAGAACCAAGACUACCAGCCCAGA
rnacentral:piRNA from 1 species